rnacentral:lncRNA from 1 species
AAAACGAAACUGAAAGAAAGAAAAACAAAAUAAAAACGGUUGGGUUACCUCCCAACAAGUGCUUAAUUUAACGUCUAGAGCUCGACGAUACCUCAUGGUCUCAAUGAACAUCAAACGCAGCAGGCGUGAUAGACCGCCUAACACGAACAGAGACAGAGGACUCAUGCGCAUCAGCUGCGUGAAAAACGACGCUUCCAUUCGGCACAUCUAUCAUAGCUCUUCCCGUAGCUAAGAAU